CCUACGGGAGGCAUCAGUGGGGAAUAUUGGACAAUGGGGGGAACCCUGAUCCAGCCAUGCCGCGUGUGUGAAGAAGGCCCUCGGGUUGUAAAGCACUUUCAGUGAGGAAGAACGCCUGGUGGUUAAUACCCAUCAGGAAAGACAUCACUCACAGAAGAAGCACCGGCUAACUCCGUGCCAGCAGCCGCGGUAAUACGGAGGGUGCGAGCGUUAAUCGGAAUUACUGGGCGUAAAGCGCGCGUAGGUGGCUUGAUAAGCCGGUUGUGAAAGCCCCGGGCUCAACCUGGGAACGGCAUCCGGAACUGUCAAGCUAGAGUGCAGGAGAGGAAGGUAGAAUUCCCGGUGUAGCGGUGAAAUGCGUAGAGAUCGGGAGGAAUACCAGUGGCGAAGGCGGCCUUCUGGACUGACACUGACACUGAGGUGCGAAAGCGUGGGUAGCAAACAGGAUUAGAUACCCGAGUAGUC
rnacentral:rRNA from 1 species